UAUCUGUCUCUCUCUCUCUCUCUCUCUCUCUCUCUUUCUCUCUCUCUUUAACGUAUUCAGAAAACUUUUCGUACACGCGCGCUUGCAACUCGAGGACAUCCACCUACGUAGUACCAACUCUCGACGAUAUUUCGAUUCUCGAAAUAUCGAAAUAAAACGAGUUGGAAUAUCAUAAGGAAAAGAUAGAGAGAAGGAAAAAUAUAUACGUGUAUAUAGAUAGAAAUUUGUCGGAAGAAGGAAGAAAUAAGGAGGAGAAGGAGAAGAAGGAAAAAGAGAAGGAGAAUAACGGCGUACACUCGGUCAUUAUUAUUAUGUUCGCCAUUUUGUCGAGUCUCGUCGGCGCGAAAAAUCACUUCGUACAUCGUUGACUUUAGUUUUGAAAUCAUUUACCUCGCGACUUUUUUUCCAAUCGAUAAAAGGUAGCUGCCUCUCGGAGAGGAUAAAACUAUCAUUGGGAAAAGAAAUCUAUGUGGUUUAGCUCGUGAAAGAAGUGAGAAAAUCAAAAAGUGUGAGAAGUUUGAACGAAAGGGGUUAAGGAUAAAAAGGACGCCGGUUAGGUGGAUUUUCGUGUCGCUGCGAAGGGAUUUUACCGACCGGACAGACGCACGCUCUCACAACAUUUCUCUUUAUUUCUCUCUCUCUCUCUCUCUCUCUCUCUCUCUCUUUCUCUCUUCCUCUCUUUACUCUCGCACACGAUCUAGAAUUCGAAUCACUGCGGAAGAAAAGGAACAGCUGCGAUCGCUGGAAUCAUGAAGUUUCACAUCAGUUUGUUCCUGAUACCGAUAGCCAUCCUUUCUUUGGUGGAAAAGAUUUAUGGUUAUUCGAGUGGUGCACCUCCAAAGACGUGCAUCGAUUUGACACCGAGGCACAGUGGAGGAAGACUUCAGAGUUCGUAUCCGCCAUAUCAAGUUUUACCGGCCGCGGGACAGGGAAGAGUUCGUUUGAUACUCGGAAGUCCUCAGGGCCUUGCUUAUGAGGGUUUCUUGAUCUUAGCCAAAGACGUUGAGACCGGAGAAUUGAUCGGUGAGUUCAGCAACUUGCCGGAAAUCGCCAAGUUCGUUGAAUGUACGCCCGGUGUUAAAAACGCUGUUACACACAACAGCAAGGAAAAGAAACAUAAUCUUGAAUUCGAUUGGAUCGCGCCGCUUCAUUACGAGGGUACCAUUAUUUUUAACUCUACCUUCGCUCAGGAUUAUGCCACAUAUUGGGUUGGCGUUGAAUCACCAAAGGUUACCGUUCUGAAACGAUCCAUCGACGUUCUGACUUCCUCGACAUCGUCGACGACCUUGAGAACAACUACGCCGCCAUAUUAUUAUCCAAAGAAGGACGAAGAAUUGGUUAGUAAUCAAGACGACCCCUUUUAUGAGGGAUGCAGCGAGACAAAGAAUUGCUUUGGAUUGCCUUCUGGCUGUCUACAGACAAAGAAUUGUAAAAUUGCUGUCUCCGUGUUAGUCCGUGGAGACCGAUAUCUCUUCGAGAUGCAAGGACGAGAAGGAAAAUACGUUGCCGUUGGGCUCUCGGAAAAUAAUAAAAUGGGUGACGAUAGCGUGGUGGAAUGUACAAUAGAGGGAAGUGAUAUCAAAUUACACACGUCAUGGAAUACUCCUAACAAGCGUAACGAGCGACAGAGCUUGCAACAAGGUAGCGUUCAACUUGAAUCAGCUUCGCUCAAUGAUGACCUGAUAACAUGUAAAUUCUGGAGAGACAAGAUAACCGUAAUGCAAGAUCAUAAAUUCGAUCUUGUCAAUAAGCCAUACUAUCUUUUGUUGGUUCAUGGUAGCGAGUUGAGAGCCAACGGCGUAGGAUAUCACAACCUACUUUAUGAUUCUACGGGCGAAGCAAAAUUAUUGUCCGACGUUGGCUCAUUCACGGCAUCGAGUAACAUGUUGAUUCAUAUUCACGGUUCCUUGAUGAUAGUUGCAUGGAUGGGUACUACUUCGAUCGCUAUACUUUUAGCAAGAUAUUACAAACAAACUUGGGUUCAUUCCAAAAUGUGUGGAAAGGAUCAUUGGUUCGCCUGGCAUACCUUCCUGAAUAGCAUUACCUGCAUUCUAACGUUGAUUGCUAUCGUCGUUAUAUUCGUUGAGCUCGGUACGUGGAGCACCGAAACUUUCCACGCGUCUCUUGGAUUGGCCACGACGAUUUUAUGUUUCAUACAACCAUUCAUAGCGGCUAUGAGGCCCGAACCAGGUGCACCUAGGCGCCAACUUUUCAAUUGGACCCACUGGUUCAUCGGGAAUGCGGCACAGAUUUGCGCGAUCGUCGCUCUAUUUUUCGCUGUACGAUUGAACAAGGCCAAACUUCCGGAAUGGGUCGAUUGGAUUUUGGUCGCUUAUGUCAUAUUUCACGUUUUGACGCACGUGACACUCACCUUCCUUGGUUAUGCACCGGAGAGAGAGUCCGCUCAGAGAGGAGAUUCUUUUCCUAUGAAGGACAUGAAUCCUCGUGGACAGAUGACGAGCUCGGAUACGAGAAUGGAAGCUCCUCGAGCUGGCCUGAGAAAACUUAUUCUUGGCAUUUACGUCGUCGUAAUCAUCGUUUUCCUUGCAAUUUUAAUUACCGUCGUCGUCUUGGCACCGAUCGAGGAAACAUGGUCGUCUAUUAAAAAUACCAUUUCGAGUUACUGACCUUAAUUCAGAAUAAAAAAAAAAAAAAAAAAAAAAAAAAAAAGAAAAAGAAAAAAAAAGAGAAAAAAAAAACGAAGAAAAAAGACAUCAUCAGAAGUUCCCAAAGAUAAUUUAUUGCGUCUGUCCCAUUGCGAAGAAGUAUAUUUGUUUUUCAGAGCUAAAUUAACCUGCUCGACGAAGAACUAAUCCUGCCUACUUUAUAAUCCCACGAGAAUUCCUUAUUCUUUCAAAAACCCUUAAAUUUAGGUAAGUUUGUUACUUAAUAUAUUAUAUAUUAUAAGAUGUAAUCAUAAAAAAAAAAGAUACAUACGUAUUAUAUUUA